rnacentral:lncRNA from 1 species
CUUUCAAUGUUUAUUGUGAAUUAUCUUUUAUCUCUUUUAAGAUUUUUUAUUGUUGCUUGUAUAAUUUGUUAUGGUUUUUCUUUGAAUUUGAUUAAAGCUUGUUUAGCAUUAUUAAGAUUUAAUAAGAGUUUAUUUAGUAUUGUAUUAGAAUUAAAGUUUUGUUAUCACAAUUUCCAUUUUACGUUCAAUAGCUAGGUACCUAGUACACUUUCAAGCAAUAAUUCAUGUAAUAUGAUAAUGGUCCCUAUUGUAGCUAGAGAAACUCGUUUUAUAAUAUCUUAUCUUCUUUGGCAAUCAUGCUUUCUAUUUUGUUGUUGCAUUAUUUUUUUAGAUAUUAUUGAACAAUGUGUUUAGUUUUGCCACAAUAUAAGUAUAAGCCAUCUUGAUGACAUUGAGUCUUUUUAUGCUUUAUGAGGAACUU